CAGUGGAGUUUCUGGCACAUCUGACCUUCUCCAGGGUGAAAGAGCAGCCCUUGAGCACAGAGAUGCAAGAGCUGAGAUGCACAGAUUAUUUCAGGUGACUGUAAGAUAGAUUCCACAAAGACAAACAUUUAAAGAUGCUAUGAUUGCUCAUGGAAUAUGGAAACAACAGCAAGCUAUGUGUCACUCAAGCGUCAAGUGAUACAGUAAAGCAAAUCACCAGCAGAACUUGUGCUAUCAUUAUGGUUUUCCUAAUCUACUCAGGAUCUCGAAGCAGUUGCAGAGAAUUACUAAAAGGCAGAAAAUGUCUCAGAUAUUAACAAGUAUGCAAAGAACAAGAUUGCAACUGCGUGUGCCCAGCAUUCUGAAGACUGAAAUAGGUGAUGGAAGCUCCAGUAUCUGCAGAACACAACUGAAAGUCAUUUAAAGAAGAAAAAUGUAAAAGCAGAAGAGUUACAACUUGCCUCUAAAUCAAAGCCAUGAGGACUCUCUUCUAGAUACUGUUGAUAUAAUAUUUGCCAUUUUUCCUUUGAACCUGCCCAGCUCCUAAUAUAAUUUAUUUAAAUUAGGAAAAGCUUUUCUUUCUUACAUUCUUCAUGUUGUUCCAUACCAUCAGCUCUCUUCCAUGCUGCCAACUAUUAGGGUAGCCCAUCACUGAUUUACUGAGGAAUAAAUGGGCAUGUCCUGUACUCGGGAUUAAAAAUUAGCAGGCAUCCACAGUUUCACCAAUAGAUGAAAAAAUGCAAAGGAAUAUAUACAAAUAUUUUUUUUCCCCAGAUUCUAAUGUCUUAUUAAUGAAUUCAUUUUCUAGAGGCACUUUCAUGACAAGUAUCUCAUCUCAAAUUGUUUGUCAAUAUGACCUCCUAAAACUACAAAAUGGGAAGGAAAGUUCUACAGCCAAUGGAUGAAGUCCAGCUACCUUGAGGACAAGGAUUCAAAGAGUUUAUAUUCUGUGCUACGAGGCACAUAUGUGCAGACCAACAUUUAGACUUCUAAAUGAGUCUCUUCCUUGUGUACAAACAAAUAUAAUAUAUAUGUAUGUAUAUUUGCC